rnacentral:sRNA from 1 species
CUGACAGCCUGGAGACUGAAGGCCUUUGUUUAUCCACAGAACAGGGAAAUCACAGCCCGCAACAGGGCAAACUCCCCUUUCCACCUCCUUGCCAUUCCCUGUUUAAUGUGCCUCAAACAUAACCCGGAGGAACCACUUCUAGGGGAAUUCGGUCUCCAGGCCCAUCCAAUCCUUAACCUCC